rnacentral:rRNA from 1 species
AUUGAACGCUGGCGGCAUGCUUUACACAUGCAAGUCGAACGCGAAAGGGGGGCAACUCCUGAGUAGAGUGGCGCACGGGUGAGUAAUACAUCGGAACGUGUCCUGUAAUGGGGGAUAACGCAGCGAAAGCUGUGCUAAUACCGCAUACGUCCUACGGGAGAAAGUGGGGGACCGCAAGGCCUCACGUUAUAGGAGCGGCCGAUGUCGGAUUAGCUAGUUGGUGGGGUAAAGGCUCACCAAGGCAACGAUCCGUAGCUGGUCUGAGAGGAUGAUCAGCCACACUGGGACUGAGACACGGCCCAGACUCCUACGGGAGGCAGCAGUGGGGAAUUUUGGACAAUGGGCGCAAGCCUGAUCCAGCCAUGCCGCGUGAGUGAAGAAGGCCUUCGGGUUGUAAAGCUCUUUCGGCCGGGACGAAAUCGCACGGGUUAACACCGCGUGUGGAUGACGGUACCGGAAUAAGAAGCACCGGCUAACUACGUG